GAUGAAGAACGCAGCGAAAUGCGAUAAGUAAUGUGAAUUGCAGAAUUCAGUGAAUCAUCGAAUCUUUGAACGCACAUUGCGCCCGCCAGUAUUCUGGCGGGCAUGCCUGUUCGAGCGUCAUUACAACCCUCAGGCCCCCGGGCCUGGCGUUGGGGAUCGGCGGAAGCCCCCUGCGGGCACAACGCCGUCCCCCAAAUACAGUGGCGGUCCCGCCGCAGCUUCCAUUGCGUAGUAGCUAACACCUCGCAACUGGAGAGCGGCGCGGCCACGCCGUAAAACACCCAACUUCUGAAUGUUGACCUCGAAUCAGGCAGGAAUACCCGCUGAACUUAAGCAUAUCAAUAAGCGGAGGA
rnacentral:misc_RNA from 1 species